rnacentral:misc_RNA from 1 species
UGGUUCUGGCAUNGAUGAAGAACGCAGCGAAAUGCGAUAAGUAAUGUGAAUUGCAGAAUUUAGUGAAUCAUCGAAUCUUUGAACGCACAUUGCGCCCCUUGGUAUUCCGGGGGGCAUGCCUGUUCGAGUGUCAUUACAACCCUCAAGCCUAGCUUGGUGUUGGGCCCCGCUACUCUAGCGGGCCUUAAAAUCAUAGGCGGCGCCCUUAGGCUCUGAGCGUAGUAAAUAUUCCUUGCUACGGAGUCCUAGGCGGCGGUGGCCGCGAACCCUUAACUUUCUAAGUUUGACCUCGGAUCAGGUAGGGAUACCCGCUGA